rnacentral:rRNA from 1 species
AGUGAACGCUGGCGGUAGGCCUAACACAUGCAAGUCAAACGGCAGCACAGGAGAGCUUGCUCUCUGGGUGGCGAGUGGCGGACGGGUGAGGAAUACAUCGGAAUCUACUUUUUCGUGGGGGAUAACGUAGGGAAACUUACGCUAAUACCGCAUACGACCUACGGGUGAAAGCAGGGGACCUUCGGGCCUUGCGCGAUUGAAUGAGCCGAUGUCGGAUUAGCUAGUUGGCGGGGUAAAGGCCCACCAAGGCGACGAUCCGUAGCUGGUCUGAGAGGAUGAUCAGCCACACUGGAACGGAGACACGGUCCAGACUCCUACGGGAGGCAGCAGUGGGGAAUAUUGGACAAUGGGCGCAAGCCUGAUCCAGCCAUACCGCGUGGGUGAAGAAGGCCUUCGGGUUGUAAAGCCCUUUUGUUGGGAAAGAAAUUCAGCUGGCUAAUACCCGGUUGGGAUGACGGUACCCAAAGAAUAAGCACCGGCUAACUUCGUGCCAGCAGCCGCGGUAA